GACCUCUGUGCUAAACUUCUGGAUGGUUCUGGAAUCCUGCGAGGGCCGAUCCCUCGGGAAAGAGCGAAGUCAAGCGGACACUUGUUUUGUCUCCAUAGUGACCAAUCGAUUUUUCCCAUAGGAACAGCGAGGCUUUCCCGGAAAGCAGUGUGCGCGGAGAAUUGAUCAUUAUGUUCUUACGGGAAGCAAACAAUUACGACAAGUCCACAGUCUGACCACUCGGCCUUUAUAAAGCAGCAUUUUGUUUAGCUUCGAUCGGAAAUACAUAUUUAUCGCUGUUCACCAGAUAGCUUAUUUGGUAGAUAGCAGUAGCUGCGUGCAUACCCCGACAGAGGUCUUUUGUGCUUGGAAACCUUUGAAAUAGAAAGUACCAGUGACGUUGUCGUUUUUUCACUGUUACUUGCAAACCAGGGGGUUGAUUUGAAUUUGUCCUCCAUGCGAUACCACACCAUAACCAGUGGAUCGAAAACUGCAUAUUAAUGUUAUGUCAUAGAUAUUGGAACACGUUCAUUGUUUAAAAGAUGUUUCGUUGACAUUCUCAGAGGUGGUUUAUAUUAAUGUUGUUUACAAUAGUGACUGAAUUGCCGAAACAUUUGUUAAUUGCAGUGAUCGUUGCAUAUGCCUUUAUAUAUAUAAUUUUAGCAUUGUAUAAUCGGUAAAUUUAAUGUAUGUAUGUGGUUAUGCAUAGGUUUAUAGUGACAUUCUGAAAAUUCAAAGCAAGACGAUUUUGUUAAUAAAAUCAAAAUCCCGCUACACCGACAUCAAUCCCCGAUCCGUGGACUAGUAGCUAGGUUGCAAGUCCAUCGCCAGGAUUCCACCAGGCAGCGGAACGGUGGGGGCGGUUUUUUUCAGGGGUGCGCACUGCGGAGGUGUUGGUUAUUUUUAUUUUUUUUAAAAAAACCUGUUAUGUUUUUUACGACCCCUCAUGUUCGCGCGUUCUGUUAGCUUCUGAAAAAGACGGAAAUGGUUAAAGUUAUGAAAUCACCGUUCGUUCCGCCGGUAUCCGUGAACAUCAAUAGGUUGGGAACUAUGCAAUCAGAUUUAUACCAGUAUUAUAAAUGAAAACUUUUUAAACAUCAAGCAAAAAAAAAAAAAACAAUUAGAGAGAAAAAAACUCACUGAAGCAAAAAAGAAAAAAGUCAUCUCAAAAGUAAUAUUUAUAAGUUGCAAACAAAUUAUUGGUGAUAAUGUGUCCUUUUGUUUCCAAUUCCAGCUUUCUCGUUUGUGCUGCCCGCUUUGCGAUUAUAUUGCCAGCUUUCUCCUUUGCGCUCCCUGACUUGCUUUUGCGCCGCCAGAUGUCUUUGCUUGUAGUUCUGCUACAAACCUCUCCCAUGGGCGUUUUUUUCCAGGAAUGUGUUCCCAUUGGAUAAUAAGUUUUUGAGUGACAACUCAGUCCCUCGGACGUUGUUUAGUUCUGCAAACAAAUCAGUAGAGGCGUCACCCAUAAGGAGGGUUGCAAUUAACAGCACAAUCACCUCCCUUCGCCUCUAGCCGCCAUCUUGGUGCACUUCUUAGUCGUAGUGAUGGAGUAUUCUGUGUAUGUGAAUCAGCUACCGUCAGAUGCAAGCAAUACAUAUAAAGAAAAAAAAACUGAUAUUAUUGGAUGUGACACACAUUGAAAGUGAAAGACCUAAGCUAUGAGGAUAUCCUGAAUUAUUUGGAUCUUCAAAUGUCCUGGGUGAAGCAAAUGAAGGUAACUAAAACCCUGAAUUAUAAUUUCUUCAUUUCUGGCUGGGUAAAAUAACUGAAGAGGAAGAAGUGUGGACAAAAUAUUUUGGUGUACUCACGGUCUACCACUCCCAGAGAGCCUCCGUUACGUCCACAAGAAUCUGGUUUCUUGUCAAGAAAGACGAAGUUCACACAGUUGUGUCUGCGGUUUGCAUGUUUGUUUGCAGUUUUAUUAAUGGUAUUUGCACUUUGUCUGACCUGCACAAACUUAAGCUAGCUAAAUGUGUUUAUGACACAUUUAUUGUUCUACUCUUCAUAUUGUACUCAUAUCUUACAUCUCCAUAUUGUACUCCAUAUCUUUGUCUUGCACUGUCUCUUUGUCCCCUCAUUCAUCUGUCCCCUCUCCUGCAAUUGUGGCACAAGAAUUGUAUUGUUUCACCAAGUUCUAUGAUGCAUGUGAAUAAAGUGAUUGUGAUUUAAGAAAGAGA